UUGGGAACUAAAACCCUGUCAAGGGCUCAAGGAUUGUAUAGAAGAAAUUCUAGCACUAACAUGGUGACUUCAGAUUCUCCAACUCCAAAAGACAACCAACAAUGUGUAGAUUUCGCAUUGAAAAUGUCAAUUUCAAUGAGUUCUACAUUGUUUAAGCAUUCAAGCUUCUCAAGCGGGAAUGAUGAUAGAUGAUUACUCAUGUCCAUCAUGUUAUCAACUUCAAACAUAUUGGACAAAGGAGAGGAUUUGGUCAUGCCUCAGUUAUAGAGUUGGGUGGUUUGGUGAUUUUGAUGGAUUCUUAGCUAAUUCAAGUAAGGAGUGCUUGUCUCAUCUCAAAGGUACAAAUUUUUCAUUUUAUUGAGAAUUUUGUUCUUUUUAUUUAGUGUAUACUUGAUUAUGAUGCAUUUCUAAAUGCAUUUCUUACUCAUACUCUAAUAACCUUGGCAUAUCUUCCAUAUCUUUCUGUGGCAAUAAUACAGAUUUUGAUGCAUUCAUUUUGAAAUAUGUGGUGCUUAUUCAUGUACUAAUGUCUUGGGAUGAUAUGGGCGUAUCAAAUCUACUUUUCUUCUUGUGUACCUCAAUUUCAAUGAACUGAACCACUUAUCAC